rnacentral:rRNA from 1 species
UUCGUAGGUGGUUUGUUAAGUCUGAUGUUAAAGAACGAGGCUCAACCUCGGAGGUGCAUUGGAUACUGGCAGACUGGAGUGCAGUAGAGGCAAGUGGAAUUCCCAGUGUAGCGGUGAAAUGCGUAGAUAUUGGGAAGAACACCAGUGGCGUAAGCGACUUGCUGGGCUGUAACUGACACUGAGGAACGAAAGCCAGGGGAGCAAAUGGGAUUAGAUACCCCAGUAGUCCUGGCCGUAAACGAUGGAUACUAGGCGUAGCGGGUAUCGACCCCUGCUGUGCCGCAGCUAACGCGAUAAGUAUCCCGCCUGAGUAGUACGGCCGCAAGGUUGAA